UUAACGAAAGCAUUGGCUGCUUUAAAUAAGCAAAGCCACGUACAAACGAACCGAAAUAAAAGGGAAACUAAUAGCUAACAAAUGGAACCCAAUACACUUAAAACAAAGCAUAACAAACGGAAAUAAAAUGACGGAAAACUCUCACUGCGGAUGACCCAUUUCCUUCUGCACGUAGGACUCUCAACUGCCACAACCCAGUCCAAGUCCAACGGUCCUUCACGUUCCC
rnacentral:lncRNA from 1 species